CACUCCUGCGGGAGGCAGCAGUGGGGAAUUUUGGACAAUGGGCGAAAGCCUGAUCCAGCAAUGCCGCGUGAGUGAAGAAGGCCUUCGGGUUGUAAAGCUCUUUUGUCAGGGAAGAAACGGUGAAAGCUAAUAUCUUUUGCUAAUGACGGUACCUGAAGAAUAAGCACCGGCUAACUACGUGCCAGCAGCCGCGGUAAUACGUAGGGUGCAAGCGUUAAUCGGAAUUACUGGGCGUAAAGCGUGCGCAGGCGGUUUUGUAAGUCUGAUGUGAAAUCCCCGGGCUCAACCUGGGAAGUGCAUUGGAGACUGCAAGGCUAGAAUCUGGAAGAGGGGGGUAGAAUUCCACGUGUAGCAGUGAAAUGCGUAGAUAUGUGGAGGAACACCGAUGGCGAAGGCAGCCCCCUGGGUCAAGAUUGACGCUCAUGCACGAAAGCGUGGGGAGCAAACAGGAUUAGAUACCCUUGUAGUCCC
rnacentral:rRNA from 1 species